rnacentral:tRNA from 1 species
GUAGAUAUAGUAUAAAAAAGACGUUAGAUUGUGAUUCUAAAGAUAGGGGUUGAAACCCUCUUAUCCACC